rnacentral:rRNA from 1 species
AUUGAACGCUGGCGGCAGGCCUAACACAUGCAAGUCGAGCGCGCGGCGGACGGGUGCGUAAUGUAUGGGGACUGCCCGAUAGAGGGGGAUAAAAACUGGAAACGGUAGAUACUACAGCAUACUAUCGGAAACACCAUAUGGGAUUAGCUAGUAGGUGAGGUAAUGGCUCACCUAGGCGACGAUCCCUAGCUGGUCUGAGAGGAUGAUAAGCCACACUGUGACUGUGACACGGCCCAGACUCCUACGGAGGCAGCAGUGGGGAAUAUUGAACAAUGGGCGCAAGCCUGAUGCAGCCAUGCCGCGUGUAUGAAGAAGGCCCUAGGGUUGUAAAGUACUUUCAGUCGGGAGGCGUUACCGACAGAAGAAGCACCGGCUAACUCCGUGCCAGCAGCCGCGGUAAUAC